UCCCCCUCCCACCUCGGGGUUAAAAAAUCCAUCACAGAGGAAGAAAAAGGAAUACAGAAUGAAAAUCGCUUGUUAACAAUAUUUUCUUUACAAUGGAAUUUUCAACAAUUACAAUCUAGUUUAUUUUUAUUUUACUCCAGAUGAAUUAUACUCGGCAGCGUUGGAGUAACAACUUUAACUGUGUGAAGAUACACACUGAUCUGGUGUCUGUUGUGGCUUUGACUGUGUUUUUCUGCUUCCUUCCCAUCAUUUUCUAUGUAUCUUUGAAAAUGCAAGGUGACUCUAGCAACAGGAAAUCUGGAACAUCCUUACAGGAUAACCAGGGUUGAAUCAAAACAGAAAAGUACCAGCUAGCAAUUUUGAUAUGCUGGGUGACCCUCACUCACUCAUUCAUUCCACAUGCUCAAUCACAAUCAUUCACAAGGCUCUUUGCAUUGUUGCAGAGGAAGCAGAAAUUUGUACAGAAAAAUUAAAAGGGUUUCCUCCUAAGUGCCACAAAUGAAAAGAACAGGUCACUGAACUGGAGAACAAUGAAGAAUUUUAGAUAAGCACGCAAAAAAGUGAGAAGUAUUAAAUUAACGGAGGGUUUGGUUUGUAAUCUGCCCAUCACCUUACAAAACCCUCUAAGAGCAGUUUCCAGUUGAGUGUUGUAAAACCAAAACCAAACCAAUUUCUUACCAAUUAGACUACCCAGCCAAUCGCAAACCAUAGUAAAACCAAAACCAAAAUAAUUCCCUGAUUACUUCCAACUCUCAAUUGAAAGAACAAUACCAUAAUUUCUGAUGGUAAUUUAACCCAGUGUUAGCCAUGAUUUUAUUAAAAAGGCUUUUUAGAUAUAGUUAUUUUUAUGAGGGAGAAAAGGGGCAGGGGGACCUAAAAUCAGAAGGAAUUUGGGGUUUGUAGAAUGGUCUGACUUACACUUCAGGACUUAAUUUUGAAAGGAAUUUUGCAUCCGACAAAAUGUUAGCUGCAUGUAAGAGUAUGCACGAUAAUUAUUUUAUUCACAAAUAACAUUCAAAGUAAUUUAUAGAUAAUGGAUGAAUUCCUUUUUAAUGAUCUGGAUCCAAGAUCACUCGGAUCAUGGUGCAUCAAAGGAGCUGUUUCAUGAAGGUUCCUUUGAUGCACCACGAUCCAUGCGGUUUGGAUUACUGAUCCUGAUCCGGAUAAUUCCAAAGGAAUGUGUCCAAUGUUAUGAGAUAGGAAACAGGUUCUGCUAUGGUCAAUAAAUAUCAUCGAGAAUCAAAAAUCCCUGAAAUUAUAAACUCAUCCCUUCAGUUAUUAUAUUGUUCCUAGAUGCAUCGCUAAUACCCCCUGGUUUUAUAUUUUUGGAAAUCUAUUACCAGGGGAUUUCUCCGUGGCUUGUUGAUUUGUUUUACAGUACCCCAUGUUGCAAGGACAAGUACAAUUAAUUGUUGUGGCAACUUGCUGGCACUUCUUUUUUACUUAAAAUUAUUCAUGAUCAACUAAAAAGCGUUUUUGCAGGCUGUCUGCUUGUUUUCCUUGCUUAGAUGCCGAUGUUUAGCCUAAGUAGCGCGGAUUUAAGGGACACUGGGACUUGUGUUUCGCCUCCCGCACCCCAUCUCCGCUUACGGCUACAACGGAGGGUAUACCAUGUUCAGUAUUUCAAGUCUCUCUUUACACGUAACCAGCGGGCUUAUGAACUUCAAUUCCCGAUAACUCCAAGCCCAACUGUGUAUACAGGUAUUUACACUAUCACCCAUCUCCGAAUGUCGCUUUCCUGAGAGUAGAAUUGACAAAGAUUAAAGUAUGAGAAUGACAAAAUCUUA